AUGUGGAACUGCAAGAGCAGAGAGGAGGAGAAGUCUCACCAUGAAGACAAAAGAAGUCCUGAGCCUUGGAUUUUCUUUCUCUAGGUCUGUUUUGUGGACCCACAGACUCGUAGAAGUUCUCUGAGGGCUGCCUGCUCCCCAUCUGCCCCAGAUGGAUCCCUUAAGGUGAGAUUGGGAACCAGCUGUGGAAAGACUUUAAUAAUGGGAUGGAUGGACUGCCAAGCUCUCCCUCUGUCAGGAUUGAUUCUGCAGCGAGACUGUGAGCUUAACGAGAGCAAAACUCAGGCCUUAUACUCCUUCAUGUGCCCUGCAGACUCCAGAAGUGCUAGGAGCCUUCUGCUCUUCUGCAGGGACUAGCUCGUCUCACAUACAUCUGAGGCUGGUUGCCACCACCUGGCCUUGAGAAGCAAGCAGCAGCACCUCCCUCCAGGGCCCACGGACAGGAACAUGUGGUCCUGACCCCAGCUGGAUGCCCCUCGCGACUCCACCCCACAGUCUCAGAAGUUUUCUCAUU